rnacentral:lncRNA from 1 species
GGUAGGUUAGUGGUAGACAUGACUGUAUGUAGUGUUAUGAUAUGAGGGUAGGUUAGUGUUAGACAUAUCUGUAUGUAGUGUUAUGAUAUGAGGGUAGGUUAGUGUUAUGAUAUGAUAUGAGGGUAGGUUAGUGUUAUGAUAUGAGGGUAGGUUAGUGUUAGACAUGUCUGUAUGUAGUGUUAUGAUAUGAGGGUAGGUUAGUGUUAGACAUGUCUGUAUGUAGUGUUAUGAUAUGAGGGUAGGUUAGUGUUAUGAUAUGAUAUGAGGGUAGGUUAGUGGUAGGCAUGUCUGUAUGUAGUGUUAUGAUAUGAGGGUAGGUUAGUGGUAGACAUGUCUGUAUGUAGUGUUAUGAUAUGAGGGUAGGUUAGUGGUAGACAUGUCUGUAUGUAGUGUUAUGAUAUGAGGGUAGGUUAGUGUUAUGAUAUGAGGGUAGGUUAGUGUUAAACCAGACUGUAUGUAGUGUUAUGAUAUGAAGGUAGGUUAGUGGUAGACAUGUCUGUAUGUAGUGUUAUGAUAUGAGGGUAGGUUAGUGGUAGACAUGUCUGUAUGUAGUGUUAUGAUAUGAGGGUAGGUUAGUGGUAGACAUGUCUGUAUGUAGUGUUAUGAUAUGAGGGUAGGUUAGUGUUAUGAUAUGAGGGUAGGUUAGUGUUAAACCAGACUGUAUGUAGUGUUAUGAUAUGAAGGUAGGUUAGUGGUAGACAUGUCUGUAUGUAGUGUUAUGAUAUGAGGGUAGGUUAGUGGUAGACAUGUCUGUAUGUAGUGUUAUGAUAUGAGGGUAGGUUAGUGGUAGACAUGUCUGUAUGUAGUGUUAUGAUAUGAGGGUAGGUUAGUGUUAUGAUAUGAGGGUAGGUUAGUGUUAGACAUGUCUGUAUGUAGUGUUAUGAUAUGAGGGUAGGUUAGUGGUAGACAUGUAUGUAUGUUGUGUUAUGAUAUGAGGGUAGGUUAGUGUUAUGAUAUGAGGGUAGGUUAGUGGUAGACAUGUCUGUAUGUAGUGUUAUGAUAUGAGGGUAGGUUAGUGUUAGACACGUCUGUAUGUAGUGUUAUGAUAUGAGGGUAGGUUAGUGGUAGACAUGUCUGUAUGUAGUGUUAUGAUAUGAGGGUAGGUUAGUGGUAGACAUGUCUGUAUGUAGUGUUAUGAUAUGAGGGUAGGUUAGUGGUAGACAUGUCUGUAUGUAGUGUUAUGAUAUGAGGGUAGGUUAGUGGUAGGCAUGUCUGUAUGUAGUGUUAUGAUAUGAGGGUAGGUUAGUGGUAGACAUGUCUGUAUGUAGUGUUAUGAUAUGAGGGUAGGUUAGUGGUAGACAUGUCUGUAUGUAGUGUUAUGAUAUGAGGGUAGGUUAGUGUUAUGAUAUGAGGGUAGGUUAGUGUUAAACCAGACUGUAUGUAGUGUUAUGAUAUGAAGGUAGGUUAGUGGUAGACAUGUCUGUAUGUAGUGUUAUGAUAUGAGGGUAGGUUAGUGGUAGACAUGUCUGUAUGUAGUGUUAUGAUAUGAGGGUAGGUUAGUGGUAGACAUGUCUGUAUGUAGUGUUAUGAUAUGAGGGUAGGUUAGUGGUAGACAUGUAUGUAUGUUGUGUUAUGAUAUGAGGGUAGGUUAGUGUUAUGAUAUGAGGGUAGGUUAGUGGUAGACAUGACUGUAUGUAGUGUUAUGAUAUGAAGGUAGGUUAGUGGUAGACAUGUCUGUAUGUAGUGUUAUGAUAUGAGGGUAGGUUAGUGUUAUGAUAUGACGGUAGGUUAGUGUUAUGAUAUGAGGGUAGGUUAGUGUUAGACAUGUCUGUAUGUAGUGUUAUGAUAUGUGGGUAGGUUGGUGGUAGACAUGUAUGUAUGUAGUGUUAUGAUAUGAGGGUAGGUUAGUGGUUACUUUAUCCUAUCCCAGGUAUUCCUUAAAGAGGUGGGGUUUCAGGUGUCUCCGGAAGGUGGUGAUUGACUCCGCUGUCCAGGCGUCGUGAGGGAGCUUGUUCCACCAUUGGGGUGCCAGAGCAGCGAACAGUUUUGACUGGGCUGAGCGGGAACUGUGCUUCCUCAGAGGUAGGGAGGCG